AAGUCGUAACAAGGUUUCCGUAGGUGAACCUGCGGAAGGAUCAUUAACACGUAUCCAACGUUAAACAACCCUGUGAACUUUCAACCGCUCUUGUAGCCCAGGCGGAACAGCAAUCCCGGUAAAUCAAAAUCAGCCCCGCGGAAACGCCGGGCACUAAAACUUGAACAACUGUUAACAAUGGAUAUCUUGGUUCUC
rnacentral:misc_RNA from 1 species